rnacentral:rRNA from 1 species
AACGAACGCUGGCGGCAUGCCUAACACAUGCCAGUCGAACGAGACCUUCGGGUCUAGUGGCGCACGGGUGCGUAACGCGUGGGAACCUGCCCUUAGGUUCGGAAUAACUCCCCGAAAGGGGUGCUAAUACCGGAUAAUGUCUUCGGACCAAAGAUUUAUCGCCUUUGGAUGGGCCCGCGUUGGAUUAGCUAGUUGGUAGGGUAAAAGCCUACCAAGGCGACGAUCCAUAGCUGGUCUGAGAGGAUGAUCAGCCACACUGGGACUGAGACACGGCCCAGACUCCUACGGGAGGCAGCAGUGGGGAAUAUUGGACAAUGGGCGAAAGCCUGAACCAGCAAUGCCGCGUGAGUGAUGAAGGCCUUAGGGUUGUAAAGCUCUUUUACCCGGGAUGAUAAUGACAGUACCGGGAGAAUAAGCUCCGGCUAACUCCGUG